ensembl:lncRNA
AUGGGGGGCCAGCUCUUCCUCUGGGUCAGGGUCGGGAACCGAGCGGGGGCUUCAGGGCCGGAUACUUCGCCAGGGGAGGCGGCGCGCUCGCCCCGAAAGCCUCUGCCUGCUCGCGGCGGAGAGAGGCUGGGCGGCCGCGGGUGCGGACAGCUGCCCGGUUCCGCGGCUCUCGCGGCCCGGGGGGCCCCCUGGCCGGGCUCCCCCACCCCUCCCGUGGCUCUCACCCCCACGCUCCCUAAUCCAAUUUGCAACUUGGCCGCGCGCCGCCCCCGGCUCGGCCCCCACCCCCGCAGCCCCAGUUCCAGAGGCGGGAGGAUCGACUCCUGCAGCCGGGUGCUCGGUGCUCAUGGCCGCAGAGGCGGGGUCAAGGUGACGUCCGGGGCCGGGGGAGCCAGGGACCACAGUGGCAGCAGACCCUUCAUGCCCGGUGCCUUUGGAACUCGCAGAUGCAAGAGGAACACGCUUCCUGGCUGCUGUCCCCAUGGCCCCCAUGCCCUUGUGGCCUCUUAUAUGCUAGGAGGAGCCCGCCAAGGUGAGGAUGGGCGUGUGGGGGGCCUCUCCCUGGACCCCUCCCAGGCUGGCCUCAGAAGAACAGGGGAUCAGCCCAGCAGGGGAAACCCAGGUUUCUGCGCUGCCAGGGACAAGCCUUGGGCCCAGCCAGGGUCCUCUCGUGCCCAGUGGCUCGGGGAAACUUCUCCAGGGAAUCUGGACACCCUGCCCCCCCCAUCCUCAAAUUGGGAGAACCUUUGACACCCACCUGCUGGGCCUGGAGUCUGGGGGUGGGGCACUGGGAGGGAUGGCCUCUGGGCUGAAGCCCACUAGAAAGGAAAGCCAUCCGUACAGCAGCACCCCGCGGGAGGCCACAGCAGACCAGCUCAUCAGGGACCCCCCACCCCCACCCCGCGCGCCCAGAUUCUGGGAGAAGGAGGCAGGAGGGAAGGCUGGCAGCUCCGAGCUUCUCCAGGCAGCCCCCGGGGCCGGGGGCCUGGGCAGGAGGAGGGGGCAGAGCAGCUGCUGGCGAUUUAUUAAGCAGUCACGGAAAAAUUGGUUUAUAAAUUAACAGCUGUUUUAACUUUAGGGCCUCUUCUUCAGGGAAUGGAAGCAGCCGACUGGACCGGGAUUGGAGUGUGUGUGUGAGGCUCGUGGAGGGAGCGGGAGGCGGAGAACUCCAGCAGCUGGCAUUCUUCGGGGGCAGUCUCAGCUGGCACCACGGCGGGCACCAGGCAGUGGCCGGAGCAGGGGGUCUCCAGGUGCCCGGGGCGGAGGCUGGCCCCGCUGUGGGCCAGUUUGCUCUCUUCCCGACAACAUCCAGGCAUCCACCUGGGGGCGCCAGAGGGCAAGAUACGGCUGUACUCGUUUCUGCCACCAGAGGGCGGCGUCGGCACAUUGAUUUCUGCUGCUCCUGCGAUCUGUCCAAACCCGGCUGGGCGAGGCGGAACCCAGGUCGAGGGCUGAGCCCGGAGAGGCCGUCCUGGCGCGGAGUCCUGACCGCGGCGUGGGCAGUGGGAAGGAAUCAGGGCCCUGCAGUCGGACGGCGUGUUCGGGUCUGCGUUGCGGCGCUGCACCUGUGAUGCCAGCAUCCCGUAUCCACUGUGGGUUUGAGUCCCGGCUGCUCCACUUCCAAUCCUGCUCCCUGCUGAUGUGCCAGGGAAGGCAGCAGAGGAUGGCCCAAGUGUUUGUGCCCCUGCACCCACAUGGGAGACCCCAGAGGAGUUCCUGGAUCCUGGCUUCUGCUUGGCCCAGCCCCAAUUGCUGUGGCCCACUGGGGGAAUGAACCAGGAGAUGGAAGAUCUCUCUCUGUCUCUCUCUGUCUUUCUCUGACUGCUUUGCAAGUAAAAAUAAAUGACUCUUUUUCAUUUUUUAAGACUGCA